rnacentral:rRNA from 1 species
ACGCACGCUGGCGGCGUGCUUAACACAUGCAAGUCGAACGGAAAGGCCCUGCUUUUGUGGGGUGCUCGAGUGGCGAACGGGUGAGUAACACGUGAGUAACCUGCCCUUGACUUUGGGAUAACUUCAGGAAACUGGGGCUAAUACCGGAUAGGAGCUCCUGCUGCAUGGUGGGGGUUGGAAAGUUUCGGCGGUUGGGGAUGGACUCGCGGCUUAUCAGCUUGUUGGUGGGGUAGUGGCUUACCAAGGCUUUGACGGGUAGCCGGCCUGAGAGGGUGACCGGCCACAUUGGGACUGAGAUACGGCCCAGACUCCUACGGGAGGCAGCAGUGGGGAAUAUUGCACAAUGGGCGGAAGCCUGAUGCAGCAACGCCGCGUGCGGGAUGACGGCCUUCGGGUGGUAAACCGCUUUCGCCUGUGACGAAGCGUGAGUGACGGUAAUGGGUAAAGAAGCACCGGCUAACUACGU